AUUCCCUAGACUAUAGUAUACAUAUAUUAUUACUUUGAAAUUUCAGUGACCUAAGAAAUAUAUCAAACCUGAAGUUUUGUGUUUCACACAAACAUGUAGGUUGGCAAAACCUUUUUAAAUAAUGUAAAUUAAUCACAAGUCUGCAUAUGCCCUCUCAUAGGCAAAUGUAUGCAUUGUAUACAUAAGUAAGAUAUGUAUACUACACGUAUGCCCUUCUCUUGACCCACAUUUUGUAAAUAAAACAGAUAUGAUAAGUCUAUGGCAGUUUAUGAAAACAUAUAUACAUGUCAUCUCAUUGCAAUUUAUAAUUUUGAAACAUCAGUAUUUAAAUUUUAACUGAAUAUGUGUUGAGACACAGUUUUAAAAUUCACAUUGUAUGACGCAAUCUAAUUACUCAAUGGUAUAAUAUAGACCUAACGGUGCAAAUAUCAAUUAUGAUGAUCUUUUUUCUAGGCAUCAGCCUGAAGACCGAGGGAGGUUAGAUAGGACCAGUGCAGGUUGAAGUGGAUUUCGAGUCAACAAGUAUAACAGCAAGAGAGGUACUCCAUUUACAGUGAUGAUGACAUAUCCCCUGGACCCCCACAACUCCACAAAUUUAAAAAUGUUUGAUCAAGUUCCGAAGAUUAAAGAACUACUGCAAAAUUUGGGACUGGAUGAAAAACAUUAAUUCACUUAUAUGAGCUCAGAGCAGUGGAUGUUAUACAACAUACUUUAAACUAAAUUGUGAAUUUAAGGGAAAACAAGUACAUGUCAUGUACUCGUAUAUUACAAGUACAUGCCUUUUGAAAGACAAUAAUAUUGCAUAGAUGUAAAGGAAAUUUCAAUGUUGAUUAUUUUUUCUUAGAUAUAUUAGUAAAAAAUGUGCACAUGAUAGAA